UACAGAGGGUGCGAGCGUUGUUCGGAAUUAUUGGGCGUAAAGCGCUUGUAGGCGGCCUGUCAAGUCGGGUGUGAAAUUUCGAGGCUUAACCUCGAGAUGUCAUCGGAAACCAUUUGGCUAGAGUCCGGAAGAGGAGAGUGGAAUUCCUGGUGUAGCGGUGAAAUGCGCAGAUAUCAGGAGGAACACCAAUAGCGAAGGCAGCCUCGUGGGACGUUACUGACACUGAGGCGCGAAAGCGUGGGGAGCGAACAGG
rnacentral:rRNA from 1 species